GCUUCCUUGGCUCAGUUGGCUAGAGCGCGAGUCUCAUACUACUGUAUGCGGGGCAUCAAUCCCACCAUCUCGAGGUCGCAAGUUCGAGCCUUGCAGGGAGCA
rfam:Lentinula edodes NBRC 111202 DNA, contig: scaffold1498.